CAGAGGAAGGACAGAGACCUCUUUCCACAAACAAACACUCCGCUUUAGCCGUCCAAAAACAGCCGAGCAAACAGAAAUGCUAAUGAAUCAGUCAGCUUCCAGUACGAGCCGGCGAUUCUACAGCUGCCGGCAGGUAUUGCUGCAUCACUGAAUAUAUCCGUGCUUCCCACAAUCCUCUGGUCCAGUCGCUCUUCAGCGUCACUAAAUGGCACAGUGUGACGGGAAGAAGCUGAAGCGCUCCGAGCUGCCGUGAGGUACAGUACCAC